CAUGUAGGCGGAUCGGCCAGUCAGAGGUGAAAGCCCUGGGCUCAACCCAGGAAUUGCCUUUGAUACUGCCGAUCUAGAGUCCGGGAGAGGAUAGUGGAAUUCCCAGUGUAGAGGUGAAAUUCGUAGAUAUUGGGAAGAACACCAGUGGCGAAGGCGGCUAUCUGGACCGGUACUGACGCUAAGGUGCGAAAGCGUGGGGAGCAAACA
rnacentral:rRNA from 1 species